rfam:Tupaia belangeri cont1.359947, whole genome shotgun sequence.
UUGUAAAUCUGUAGGCCCCUCAGAAUGGAGCUAACUCCCAUCCUUCGUUCUGCAGCCGAGGCUCGCUGCCCCAGGACGGGCAGUGAGUCAGUGGGCC